CGGAGGGUGCAAGCGUUAUCCGGAUUUAUUGGGGUUUAAAAGGGUCCGUAGGCGGACCCGUAAGUCAGUGGUGAAAUCUCAUAGCUUAACUAUGAAACUGCCAUUGAUACUGCGGGUCUUGAGUAAAUUUGAAGUGGCUGGAAUAAGUAGUGUAGCGGUGAAAUGCAUAGAUAUUACUUAGAACACCAAUUGCGAAGGCAGGUCACUAAGAUUUUAACUGACGCUGAUGGACGAAAGCGUGGGUAGCGAACAGGAUU
rnacentral:rRNA from 1 species